CUUCAUGGAGAGUUUGAUCCUGGCUCAGGACGAACGCUGGCGGCGUGCCUAAUACAUGCAAGUCGAGCGGACCGACGGGAGCUUGCU
rnacentral:rRNA from 1 species